rnacentral:ribozyme from 1 species
AGCAAUACUGCACUGGUAAGGCAUGGAUCCGAAGGUCAACAAAGGCUCUCCAUACCCUACUUCGACUCAAUACGUCCCCGGCGUAUAGAACGGUAACAUGUCUCU